rnacentral:tRNA from 1 species
GGCGGAGAGCCAAUUCUGACCGC